UACGUAGGGUGCAAGCGUUGUCCGGAAUUACUGGGCGUAAAGGGCGCGUAGGCGGUUUGUUAAGUUGGAUGUGAAAACUGUGGGCUCAACCCAUAGCCUGCAUCCAAUACUGACAGGCUAGAGUUCUGGAGGGGAUAGCGGAAUUCCUGGUGUAGCGGUGAAAUGCGUAGAUAUCAGGAGGAACACCGGUGGCGAAGGCGGCUAUCUGGACAGAGUCUGACGCUGAGGCGCGAAAGCUAGGGGAGCAAACAGG
rnacentral:rRNA from 1 species